UAUGGAAGCUUGCUUCCACUGGGAAGAUAGUGGGCGAACGGGUGAGUAACACGUGGGUAACCUGCCCAUAAGAGGGGGAGUAACAUCCGGAAACGGGUGCUAAUACCGCAUAGUUUUCUUGAUCGCAUGAUUGAGAAAGGAAAGACGGCCUUUGUGCUGUCGCUUAUGGAUGGACCCGCGGCGUAUUAGUUAGUUGGUGAGGUAACGGCUCACCAAGACGAUGAUACGUAGCCGACCUGAGAGGGUGAUCGGCCACAUUGGGACUGAGACACGGCCCAAACUCCUACGGGAGGCAGCAGUAGGGAAUCUUCCGCAAUGGACGAAAGGUCUGACGGAGCAACGCCGCGUGAGUGAAAGAAGGUUUUCGGAUCGUAAAACUCUGUUGUCAGAGAAGAACAAGUUGGAGAGUAACUGCUCCAGCCUUGACGGUAUCUGACCAGAAAGCCACGGCUAACUACGUGCCAGCCGCCGC
rnacentral:rRNA from 1 species